GGGGAAUCUUGCGCAAUGGCCGAAAGGCUGACGCAGCGACGCCGCGUGUGGGAGGACGCCUUUCGGGGUGUAAACCACUGUUGCCCGGGACGAACACGGCUAUUCGUAGCCGCUGACGGUACCGGGUGAGGAAGCACCGGCUAACUCCGUGCCAACAGCCGCGGUAAUACGGAGGGUGCGAGCGUUGUCCGGAAUCACUGGGCGUAAAGGGCGCGUAGGUGGUGGCUUAAGCGUGCGGUGAAAGCUCGGAGCUCAACUCCGAGUCGGCCGUGCGAACUGGACUCACUGGAGCAUAGUAGAGGCAGGUGGAAUUCCGGGUGUAGCGGUGGAAUGCGUAGAGAUCCGGAAGAACACCGGUGGCGAAGGCGGCCUGCUGGGCUAUGGCUGACACUGAGGCGCGACAGCGUGGGGAGCAAAC
rnacentral:rRNA from 1 species